AUGAUGGCACCAGGCUUGCCGAAUUUUGCCAAGUAGAGUUGCCAGCAGAUGGAACUGUAUGACUGUCUCUGCUUGCUGUCAGCUAGAAGGUUGGCCAUUGGAGGUCACACUGAGGACUAAUUUCUGGGUACUUCUCACGAAACAGUGCGAGCGCUUGGAUGACUGAUGAGGGCAAAAAUUCUACCUGGCUGAACAGGAACCAAUGAUGGAAGAAGAAACAGUUCUGGAGGGAUGGGAUUUACACCGGACCAUUCAAAAACUCCAAGCACCUGCAAUAUCAGGUUCAAUCAUCUCUCAAUGCUGGAUGAUCAGAGCCAUCAUCAGAGAGGGUCACAGCAGUGCAGAGCAGGGUGACGUGCACUGCCAAUCAGGCUGUGUUGAACCCCUAUUUAUCCCCCGGGAGAUCACGUG